rnacentral:rRNA from 1 species
UACGUAGGGGGCGAGCGUUGUCCGGAUUCAUUGGGCGUAAAGCGCGCGCAGGCGGCGUGCAGAGCCCGGCGUGAAAGCCCCCGGCUCAACCGGGGGAGGUCGUCGGGGACCUGCAGGCUAGAGGCCGGUAGGGGCGAGUGGAAUUCCCGGUGUAGUGGUGGAAUGCGUAGAGAUCGGGAGGAACACCAGUGGCGAAGGCGACUCGCUGGACCGGUCCUGACGCUCAGGCGCGAAAGCGUGGGGAGCGAUCCGG